rnacentral:rRNA from 1 species
GAUGAACGCCAGCGGGAGGCUUAACACAUGCAAGUCGAGGGGCAGCAUAGGGUAGCAAUACUCUGAUGGCGACCGGCAAACGGGUGAGUAACGCGUAUGCAACCUACCCUGUACAGGGGGAUAACCCGGAGAAAUUCGGACUAAUAUCCCGUAAUAAUAUCCGGAGGCAUCUUUGGAUAUUUAAAGUUCCGACGGUACGGGAUGGGCAUGCGUAACAUUAACUGGUUGGUAAGGUAACGGCUUACCAAGGCUAUGAUGUUUAGGGGUCCUGAGAGGGUGGUCCCCCACACUGGUACUGAGACACGGACCAGACUCCUACGGGAGGCAGCAGUGAGGAAUAUUGGUCAAUGGGCGCAAGCCUGAACCAGCCAUCCCGCGUGCAGGAAGACGGCCCUAUGGGUUGUAAACUGCUUUUCCAGGGAGAGAAACUUACGCACGUGUUGCGUGACUGACGGUACCCUGGGAAUAAGCAUCGGCUAACUCCGUG